AACGAACGCUGGCGGCAGGCCUAACACAUGCAAGUCGAGCGCGCCCUUCGGGGUGAGCGGCGGACGGGUGAGUAACGCGUGGGAACGUGCCCUUUUCUACGGAAUAGCCUCGGGAAACUGAGAGUAAUACCGUAUACCCCCUUUGGGGGAAAGAUUUAUCGGAAAAGGAUCGGCCCGCGUUGGAUUAGGUAGUUGGUGGGGUAAUGGCCUACCAAGCCGACGAUCCAUAGCUGGUUUGAGAGGAUGAUCAGCCACACUGGGACUGAGACACGGCCCAGACUCCUACGGGAGGCAGCAGUGGGGAAUCUUAGACAAUGGGGGCAACCCUGAUCUAGCCAUGCCGCGUGAGUGAUGAAGGCCUUAGGGUUGUAAAGCUCUUUCAGCUGGGAAGAUAAUGACGGUACCAGCAGAAGAAGCCCCGGCUAACUCCGUG
rnacentral:rRNA from 1 species